rnacentral:rRNA from 1 species
UAAGGAAUAUUGGUCAAUGGAGGCAACUCUGAACCAGCCAUGCCGCGUGCAGGAAGAAGGCCCUAUGGGUCGUAAACUGCUUUUUGAACAAGAGAAAACCCCGGUACGUGUACUGGGUUGAUAGUAUUGUUAGAAUAAGCAUCGGCUAACUUCGUGCCAGCAGCCGCGGUAAGACGAAGGAUGCAAGCGUUAUCCGGAUUCAUUGGGUUUAAAGGGUGCGUAGGCGGACUGAUAAGUCAGUGGUGAAAUCUCUCGGCUUAACCGAGAAACUGCCAUUGAUACUGUUAGUCUAGAGUACAGAUGAUGUGGGCGGAAUAUGACAUGUAGUGGUGAAAUACUUAGAUAUGUCAUAGAACACCGAUUGCGAAGGCAGCUCACAAAACUGUAACUGACGCUGAGGCACGAAAGUGCGGGGAUCAAACAGGAUUAGAUACCCUAGUAGUCCCUGAGCGGGCUGGCAAGGCGCAU